AGCCCUGGACAACACAUAAAUAAACGCGUGACUGUGCUCCAAGGAACCUUAUGGACAGACGUGGGCCGUGGGUGGGAUUCGGCCCGCGAGCUGUGGUUUGCAAACCCCCCCAUGUCUCAGCCGCCUGGCUACUCAAGGAGGCGCCGCGUUGUCUGGCCGAUGAGGAAGCCGAGGCUCACAGAGAGGCCAGGUGCCCAAGGUCAUGGGCCAGGAUUGCGCCAAGUUCAGAGCCUUGACCUCCAUGUCCUACGGGCAUCAAACGGACACAGGUCUCUCAGAAAUCCACACAGAUGCCACCUCGGUCUGUAUGGGAAGAACCCUCCCCCCCCCCCCCCGCCACCACAUCCCCAUCUCCGGCCAGGGGGGUGGCUUUUCCCGUCUGCCGGGGAGACGGUGCGGGGAAUCUGUCACUUGCCUUGCUCUCUAUCUGCCGGGGGCUUCUCUGCUGAGGGGAGGGGGUGCCACAGAAGCCCAGGGCUUGCCCUGUGUCUGGCACCUGCACCCCCCACUCCCCAGCUCCCUGUGUCCCCUCCCAUCUUCUCCAGCCCUCGGCCCCUCUCUCUGAGAACCGCAGACGCUCACUGAUCCAGACGCUUGAAAACGUGUGGUCAGAGCUGUGGACAAGGGAUCCACGGUGCGUCACGCCUUGUCCCCCACCGGCUGGGUGUGGGAUCCUCGAUUCAUUAUCAGACCUCCCCUGGGCACACACCAUGUGCCAGGCUCCGGGCCAGAAGCGGACGUGAACAAGAGGGCUCAGCGCUAAACCAGAAGGCGGGGGACCGAGGCCUGGCUGGGCGGAGAGGCCAACAUCUCAGACCCACGGGGAGCCAGACGAAGGAGGCUGUGGGUAGCAUGACUCAAGGAGAGCAUUCCUGCACCUCCUGGAAGAGGCGGCUGUGGCACGAGGCGACAUUCCAACAGGCAGCAGAGGGGGGAGACACCCUGCAGCAUUUGAAGGGCCUGGAAUGCCAAGAAGAAAAACCUGAAGGUCUUGGCAUGAGCCCGACACCAUGUGGGUCUGGGUCGGGGCCCUGCCUCUUGCAAGCUGGACGGCUUUGGGUCACAGUCAGCGCUCAAUAAAGAAUACUGCUGUUA